UACAGAGGGGGCAAGCGUUAUUCGGAAUUAUUGGGCGUAAAGGGCGCGUAGGCGGCUUGACAAGUGGCGAGUGAAAUCCCUCGGCUUAACCGAGGAACUGCCUGCCAGACUGUCUUGCUUGAGACCGGGAGAGGUGAGUGGAAUUCCCAGUGUAGCGGUGAAAUGCGUAGAUAUUGGGAGGAACACCAGUGGCGAAGGCGGCUCACUGGACCGGAACUGACGCUGAGGCGCGAAAGCGUGGGGAGCAAACAGG
rnacentral:rRNA from 1 species